UACAUAGGGGGCAAGCGUUGUCCGGAAUUAUUGGGCGUAAAGAGCUCGUAGGUCGUUUGCCGCGUCUAUUGUGAAAAUCUGAAGCUCAACCUCAUACCUGCAGUCGAUACUGUCAAACUAGAGUGUGGUAGGGGAGACUGGAAUUCCUGGUGUAGCGGUGAAAUGCGCAGAUAUCAGGAGGAACACCAAUGGCGAAGGCGGUUCUCUGGGCCAUAACUGACACUGAUGAGCGAAAGCGCGGGGAGCGAACAGGAUUAGAUACCCUGGUAGUCCGGGCCGUAAACGAUGAGCACUAGCUGUGAGAGCCUUCCACGCCUCUCGCGACGCAGCAAACGCAUUAAGUGCCCCGCCUGGGGAGUACGAUCGCAAGAUUAAAACUCAAAGGAAUUGACGGGGCCCCGCACAAGCAGCGGAGCAUGCGGUUUAAUUAGACGCAACGCGAAGAACCUUACCAAGGCUUGACAUAUAGCGAAAAGUGGCAGAGAUGUCAUGUCCUGCAAGGGCGCUAUACAGGUGGUGCAUGGUUGUCGUCAGCUCGUGUCGUGAGAUGUUGGGUUAAGUCCCGCAACGAGCGCAACCCUCGUUCUGUGUUACCAGCAUUCAGUUGGGGCCUCACAGGAGACUCCCGGGGUCAACUCGGAGGAAGGGGGGGAAGGCGUCAAAUCAUCAUGCCCCUUAUGUCUUGGGCUGCCCGCAUGCUACAAUGGCCGGUACAAAGGGCCGGGAAAUCGUAAGAAUUAACGAAUCACAUAAAACCGGUCUCAGUUCGGGAUGAGGUGUGCAACUCGACCUCAUGAAGUGGGAGUUGCUAGUAAUUGUCGAUCAACAACGCUGCGGUGAAUACGUUCCCGGGGCU
rnacentral:rRNA from 1 species